UUGAAAGGGAAACGAUUGAAGUCAGUCGUACCGAUGGACAAUCAGCCCUUUGAGUGCGAUUCUGUGGGGCAUGAGGAGGAAACCCUCGUGUUUUGCGUAUUUGUGCUCUUUGGGUGUAUUUGUUCGUAUGGUGGGUUAACAUCAAUUUUGGUCGUCAUAAAAUGACGGGAGGAAUGUAGCUUUGGUCUCGUAUUGAAGUGUUAUAGCCUCUGGUAGAUGUGACGACCGGGAUUGAGGAUUGCAACGGAUACCCCUCGGGGCUACUCGCCUGAUCUCUGAUCGUUACUCUGGUGCCGAAAGCUUGCUUAUGUCAUCAAAGUUGAUGGUCAAAAGGUUAGAACGGGUUAAAUUCGUUAAGGAUGUUGACGUA
rnacentral:rRNA from 1 species